rnacentral:rRNA from 1 species
AACGAACGCUGGCGGCACGUUUUAAGCAUGCAAGUCGAAUGGCAGUGGGGGCAACCCCAUGAGAAUGGCGAACGGGUGAGUAACACGUAGGUGAUCUGCCUGACGGAUGAGGAUAGCUUGUGGAAACACAGGGUAAUACCGAAUGAGCUGACGAGACUUUGGUUUUUUUAGUAAAGGUGCUACGGCACCGCCGACAGAGGAGCCUGCGGCUGAUUAGCUAGUUGGUGGGGUAAAGGCCUACCAAGGCGACGAUCAGUAGCCGGCCUGAGAGGGUGUACGGCCACACUGGAACUGAGACACGGUCCAGACUCCUACGGGAGGCAGCAGCUAAGAAUCUUCCGCAAUGGGCGAAAGCCUGACGGAGCGAUGCCGCGUGAUCGAUGAAGGUCGAGAGAUUGUAAAGAUCUUUUCUACAUGAGGAAUAAGUCUGGGAGGGAAUGCCUGGAUGAUGACGUUAGUGUAGGAAUAAGCCCCGGCUAAUUACGUGCCAGCCGCCGCCGUAA